rnacentral:rRNA from 1 species
CCCAGACUCCUACGGGAGGCAGCAGUGGGGAAUAUUGCACAAUGGGGGAAACCCUGAUGCAGCGACGCCGCGUGAGUGAAGAAGUAUUUCGGUAUGUAAAGCUCUCUCAGCAGGGAAGAAAAAAGACGGUACCUGACUAAGAAGCCCCGGCUAACUACGUGCCAGCAGCCGCGGUAAUACGUAGGGGGCAAGCGUUAUCCGGAUUUACUGGGUGUAAAGGGAGCGUAGACGGCAAUACAAGUCGGAAGUGAAAUACCCGGGCUCAACCUGGGAACUGCUUUGGAAACUGUAUGGCUGGAGUGCUGGAGAGGUAGGCGGAAUUCCUAGUGUAGCGGUGAAAUGCGUAGAUAUUAGGGGGAACACCAGUGGCGAAGGCGGCUUACUGGACAGUAACUGACGUUGAGGCUCGAAAGCGUGGGGAGCAAACAGGAUUAGAUACCCUUGUA